rnacentral:rRNA from 1 species
CCCAAAGCCGGUGGGGUAACCUUUUGGAGCCAGCCGUCUAAGGUGGGACAGAUGAUUGGGGUGAAGUCGUAACAAGGUAGCCGUAGGAGAACCUGCGGCUGGAUCACCUCCUUUCUAAGGA